rnacentral:rRNA from 1 species
AACGAACGCUGGCGGCAUGCCUAACACAUGCAAGUCGAACGAGACCUACGGGUCUAGUGGCCUAAGGGUGCGUAACGCGUGGGAACCUGCCCUUAGGUUAGGAGUAACUCCCCGAAAGGGGUGCUAAUAACGGAUCAUGUCUUCGGACAAAAGAUUUAUCGCCUUUGGAUGGGCCCGCGUUGGAUUAGCUAGUUGGUAGGGUAAGAGCCUACCAAGGCUACGAUCCGUAGCUGGUCUGAGAGGAUGAUCGGCCACACUGGGACUGAGACACGGCCCAGACUCCUACGGGAGGCAGCAGUGGGGAAUAUUGGACAAUGGGCGAAAGCCUGAUGCAGCAAUGCCGCGUGAAGGAAGAAGGCCUUAGGAUUGUAAAGCUCUUUUACUCGGGAAGAUAAUGACGGUACCGAGAAAAGAAGCUCCGGCUAACUCCGUG